UACGUAGGGUGCUAGCGUUGUUCGGAAUCAUUGGGCGUAAAGCGCGUGCAGGCUGUUAGCUAAGUCGGGUGUGAAAUCCCUCGGCUCAACCGAGGAAGUGCAUCCGAAACUAACUAGCUAGAGAGUGGUAGAGGAAGGUGGAAUUCCUAGUGUAGAGGUGAAAUUCGUAGAUAUUAGGAGGAAUACCGGUGGCGAAGGCGGCCUUCUGGACCAUUUCUGACGCUGAGACGCGAAAGCGUGGGGAGCAAACAGG
rnacentral:rRNA from 1 species